rnacentral:lncRNA from 1 species
UUUUGCAAGUUAUCCUUCCACUUCUUUCGAUUCCUAUUCCUUGUAUGUAAUAGCAGUGUUACUUCCUUGCAACAUUGAUCUUCAUCAAAGGUCUUAUUUUCAAAUCUGAUCAAAUUUCUGUUCCUCCAUAGUAAUGCAACAGGGGUCACAAAUGCAGUUGCAGUGACCUCUUUCUUCCAGCUUUUACUCUUAGCAUUGUUACAGAU